ensembl:lncRNA
AGUGUGCACAGAGAUCAUUUCAGAGUUCCAGUAAAAUGUUAAUAAGCUUUUGUAGGAAUCAAAUCAAACAGGGAACCUGAGAAAACAUUUAAAAUGCUAGCAAAUAUCUAAAAUUACCUGGAGAUUCUCCAUGCAGGUACCAGCAAAGCAUUUCCAAGUGAUUGUGCAGUUGGAAGAUGGCACAAGUUGGAGAACUGAGGUCCUGAAAUCUUCUGUGCUGAUUUGGGCACUAAUAAUCUUUAUUUCAUUCAUGAAAGACCAGCAGUUUUUAAGUGCUGGGAAUUCGUGGAGUGAUUAUAAGUUAUCUCUGAGAAAUGAAACUGAGAAAGGCAAAUGUUAAUUAACUAAAAUAUUGCUUUAUAGGGCAACAUUGAAGGUGUUCUGCUCUUAAAUUGGAAACCAUAUUAAGGUUCCACACACCUCCACUCUUCUCCCCCAUAAAAAAUUGAAAAUUGCUUCAUAAUGCAGUAAAAUUAAGUUUCUAAGUGAAUACUAAUAGCAGGAUAAGGCAAAUUUUAAUGAAACCAAGCUCCUUCAACACAGGAAAAAUACUGUGUUGAAUUGCAAGAGGGAAAAAAAGAACCCUGAAGGCCCCAACUAACCAGAAGUCCUGAAAAGCUUUAACAGUAUGAAAUGGUUUUUCUGUGCCAAACCCAGAGCAAAGUGUGGCCAAUAAGAGCUGGUGGUGUUUCUUUUCCAGGCUCCCUGCACUGCUCCAAGGAUGCACUGUCCCACUUGUGGGCACUUAGGGGAUCCCUUUUAUGAAAGCCCUUGUUCCAUAAUUUAUUUAAUUGUAGUGGGAGCACUUAAUUGAUCUUUUCCCAAGCAGGAGCUCAGCUCCAGGCUGUGCAGGGCUGCUCAGAGUGAGGAGCUUGUCCCAGCCUGUGCUGGGAGCCAUCCCUGCAGCCUGCAUGGCAGAGCACUGCUGGGGCCCAGCUCUUCAGACCUUGCAGCCCAAACGUACCAAAGAUUGGAGUUUUCCUGCAGCGCCCAGCAGCUGCAGGGCCCAGGAGCACGGUGCCAUCUGCAGGGCUUUCCCUCUGUCCCUGCCUCGUCCUCACCAAAUCCAGACCUCCUGCCACGUGCUGGGAGAGACCAGGGCGUGGGGAAACUGCAGAACUGCUGCAGAGCCUCAAUCCUCAGGAGCUGUUGUGGCUUUUACCUCACCCACGUCACAGGAGGCGCCUCCAGAGCAGAGCAGGAGCCCCCAGGGCUCUUGGGGUGUCCCAGAGCUCCCUGUGCUGGAUGUGCCUCCUGUGUGCAGAGCCUUCUCUGCAGAACCUCCUGUGCUGGAUCUGUUCCCUCUGUGCAGAACCCUCUGUACAGAUCCCUCUGUGCUGGAUCUGUCCUCUCUGUGCAGAGCCCUCUGUACAGAACCCUCUGUGCAGAUCCCUCUGUGCAGAUCCCCCUGUGCUGGAUCUGUCCUAUGUGCAGAACCCUCUGUGCAGAACCCUCUGUGCAGAUCCCCCUGUGCUGGAUCUGUCCUCUGUGCAGAACCCUCUGUACAGAACCCUCUGUGCAGAGCCCCCUGUGCUGGAUCUGUCCUCUCUGCAGAACCCUCUGUGCAGAUCCCCCUGUGCUGGAUCUGUCCUCUCUGUGCAGAACCUUCUCUGCAGAACCCUCUGUGCAGAUCCCUCUGUGCAGAACCUCCUGUGCUGGAUCUAUCCCCCCUGUACAGACCCCCCUGUGCUGGAUCUGUCCCCUCUGUGCAGAACCCCCUUUUUGCAGAACCCCCUUUUCAGAGCCCUCUGUGCUCCCAGGCUGUGCUGGGAGCCACAAGCCCUUGGACAGUGGCAGAACACGGGCCCAGCUCGGGCUGGCACCUGGGGCACAGGAACAAGCCAAAGCAUUACCUGUAUGUUUGGAGAUGCACUUUUCUGAAUGUAGUUUAUAUCGCUCUUUUUUAGCUCUUUUUACAUCAUGUAAACGGUGAUGCCUCAUAUUUUUUUUUAAUUUAUAUCGUAAAAGAUCAUAUUUGGUGAUUUUUAUAUAUAUCGACUGUUAUGGGGUGGGGAGGGAGGUGGGGAAAUAAAUUUGACGCCUUUAUGAAUUUAAAAAAGAAAAAAAGCAGCUGGUUUUGCAGAGAAUUUGCUGAUGGUUUAUAAUUAGUAGAACCAAGCCAAAAUGCCUCUUUGUUUCCUCACAGCCCUCUUGAUUAUGGAGAAGGAGAUCUCGAUCCCUGAGCCCACUGCUGUCAUCAAUAACUUGGGGCUGACAUGGAUACCACGGCUUUUAACAGCCCUGGAAGCAAAAGAGUUUCAAGUGGACAGAAAUGUAAUUAUACCUCAGAAUUGGACUCUAUCUGGCCUCUUUAUCCUGGCAGACUAGGAAAAAAAUGGGAAUAAACUCAUUUAGGGGAGAGUGGAGGAGGAGUGCCAGGCUGACAAAAAGCUCUUGUGUCAGUUCCAAAUGUCCAAAUGUUGGAUUUCCUGCAGUUCCUCCCAGGGAGGGAUGGAUGGGAAAUGUUGAGAAUUGGGGUCCCUGCUGGAAGUGCUGCAGAAAUGGAGAAUAUUCUGUUUGACAAAGGAUUCCUUAAAAGAGUCCCAGUGUCCUGAAAUGGUUAAAACUGAUCAGAAAAGUGCCCAAGAUUCCCAUUGGAGAAGAGCUUGGAGGAGUUUGGGUGUCCCUGAGGUGGUUAGGAAACAAAGUCGUGACAUUUUGGUCUUGGUGUGACGAUUCUGUGCAUUCCAGGUUAUUUGCUUGUUCUCCAGAAAAACCCAUCUUUGCCCAUUCUAGUGGCAGUUAGGUUGCAUCAAUUUGGAUGGGUUUUUUGGGGUGGUUUUUUUUUCUUUUUCCUAAUUUGGAAUAACAUUCUAAAGGACUGGAAUCUGCUCUGAGGAGUUUCCAUUGGCACCUGUUACCAACACUGAGUGACCAGAGGGAAGAGGUGGGUGUGCCAGGAGCAGUUCAAAGAGGAAGGAAGGGGUUUUGUUACCACCAUGAACGAUGCAGAGCAGGGAGGAAGGGCUUUAACCUGGAUUGUGCAGAAGACCUUGACCCAGUAGUCUCUAUUUACUGACCGGGGGCUUGCAGUGCAAAGCCAGGCCAAUGUAUCAUUUUAUUUACAAUAAAAUUAUCAUUUAUAUGAAAGCCUGUUUUGGUGACUGUCCUUUUAAAAAGCAAAAAUUUGGAGAAGGAAAGCCUCUGCUUUUCAGACCAGUGGAAGAUACCAUGAGCUGCCUUCCAGAUCUUGCAUUGACUGUAACAGUGAUUUGGGGCAGAACAGAGAGUGGGUAACCACAUCUCCAAAUACUUCCAGGGUUUAUUUUUUUUUUCAGCUUGCUGUUUUAGGAACAAUCAGAAAUAGUGCUGCUGUAAAAUUCAUCUGUUCUCCUUACUGAAAGGGUGAUUUUUUCCUGUUCAUGCAGCUUCUCUCCUCAGUGCCAUUGUCACUUAGUCAGUGUUUGGUGCCACUGUCCCUCCACCCCAGCCAGCCUCCAGAACUGUUUUCCCAGGAUGGAGCUGCUGUCAGUGAAGCACUGAAAUACUUGUCAGUGUGAAAUGUGAACAGGUCAGAAGAGGGGCUUGGCCAGCUGAUGGAGCAGAAACCACGCACUGAAGCAGGCUGUGAGACCCUGGCUGUGCCAGCACACACAGGAACCAUCCAGUGCAGAUGUGUCAGAACAAAAUGUCUCGUGGAGCCAGAGCAAACCACAGCCCUUGGUGUCAGAGCACCAGCUCCUGCCGUGGCCAGAGCAGGACUGGGAGCUCUCCCUUCCUUCACUGAAAACACGAAAGAAAUGCAGCAAAGACCCUCAAUUUGUAUUUCUGGCAGUUUGUGUUACGUGUGUGGUAUGGCCCAGGGGAAGGGGACUUAAGGCACAUUUCCUCUCUAAAUCCACUCCUGAAGCAAAUAAAAUAUAAAAAUCUCUAGAGGGUUGGCUGUACUACACUGCUGUGGCUGUUUCUUUUGGGGCAGUAAAGUGUGACCCAGGAAGUGUCUGGAUUUAGCACUGCUCAGGUGUGGGUGCAUUGCUUUGUACCCAGGAAACGCUGGCACGGUGCUCUGCAGCUCUGCAUGGAUGUGGGUUUACAUGGAGUCACUCGGGAUUCUCCAGCCUUGAAAUCCUGGCGGUUUCAUGCUUCCCUGCCCCCCUAACAUCAUGUGGCAUUGUUCAAACGCUGCUGGGAGCUCGGGAAGUGAGGCCAGGAGGGGCAGGAAGCGGAACCGAGGGCUCUGCUUUCAUUUUCGGAGCCUUCUGAAGGAGGAAGGGGCCGGGGAAGGGGCCCCAAGCCUGCAGCAGCACAGCCCUGGGCAGGAGGGGCUUUGUUGGGGUGCAAAUGUGCCACGGCGUGGUGGGGACAGGCACAGCUCGUGGUGAGGCUGAGCCCCCCUGAGAGCCUUGCCAGGGUCUGUGUGCACGGUGCCUGUGCUGGCUCUGUGUCCCCAGCCAAGGUCAGAUGUCACCGAGACCGUGAGACAUCCCCACGGUGACACCCCCACUGUGCCAUCCUCCCUGUGACACCCCCACUGUGACACCUCCAUGGUGACAUCCCCACUGUGACACCCCCACGGUGACAUCCCCCCUGAGCAAGCCUGCAGCAGCACAGCCCUGGGCAGGAGGGGCUUUGUUGGGGUGCAAAUGUGCCACGGCGUGGUGGGGACAGGCACAGCUCGUGGUGAGGCUGAGCCCCCCUGAGAGCCUUGCCAGGGUCUGUGUGCACGGUGCCUGUGCUGGCUCUGUGUCCCCAGCCAAGGUCAGAUGUCACCGAGACCGUGAGACAUCCCCACGGUGACACCCCCACUGUGCCAUCCUCCCUGUGACACCCCCACUGUGACACCUCCAUGGUGACAUCCCCACUGUGACACCUCCACGGUGACAUCCCCCCUGUGCCACCCCUCCUGUCACAUCCCCCCUGUGACACCCCCACGGUGACACCUCCACAGUGACAUCCCCACGGUGACACCUCCACAGUGACACCCCCCCUGUGCCAUCCCCCCCGUGACACCCCCACGGUGACACCUCCACGGUGACACCCCCACGGUGAC